rnacentral:rRNA from 1 species
AAUAUUUGACAAUGGGCGCAAGCCUGAUCCAGCCAUGCCGCGUGUGUGAAGAAGGUCUUCGGAUUNUAAAGCACUUUAAUUUGGGANGAAGGGUUUACACCUAAUACGUGUGAACUUUGAUGUUACCAAAUGAAUAAGCACCGGCUUACUUCGUGCCAGCAGCCGCGGUAAUCCGAAGGGUGCAAUCGUUAAUCGGAAGUACUGGGCGUAAAGCGCGCGUAGGUGGUUCGUUAAGUUGGAAGUGAAAGCCCCGGGAUCAACCUGGGAAUUGAUUACAAAACUAGCGAGAUAGAGUACGGUAGAGGGUGGUGGAAUAUCCUGUGUAGCGGUGAAAUGCGUAGAUAUAGGAAGGAACAUCAGUGGCGAAGGCGACCACCUGGACUGAUACUGACACUGAGAUGCGAAAGCGUGGGGAGCAAACAGG